rnacentral:rRNA from 1 species
AUGAACGCUAGCGGCAGGCUUAACACAUGCAAGUCGAGGGGCAUCGAGAGUAGCAAUACUUGUCGGCGACCGGCGCAAGGGUGCGUAACACGUGAGCAACAUACCCUAAUCAGGAGGAUAACCGGAGGAAACUCUGCCUAAUACUCCAUAAUAUCAUCUUAUGGCAUCAUGAAAUGAUAAAAGAUUUAUCGGAUUCGGAUUGGCUCGCGGGACAUUAGCUAGUUGGCGAGGUAACGGCUCACCAAGGCUACGAUGUCUAGGGGUUCUGAGAGGAAGGUCCCCCACACUGGAACUGAGACACGGUCCAGACUCCUACGGGAGGCAGCAGUGAGGAAUAUUGGACAAUGGUCGGAAGACUGAUCCAGCCAUGCCGCGUGAAGGUUACUGUCCUAUGGAUAUUAAACUUCUUUUUUACGGGAGCAAUAAGGUGCACGCGUGCAUCGAUGAGAGUACCGUACGAAUAAGCAUCGGCUAACUCCGUG